AGUAUGAUGUCAUCAUUAAGAGACUAGGAUCUGGGCCAGGCAUGGUGGCUCACCCCUGUAAUCCCAGCAUUUUGGGAGGCCGACGUGGGAGGAUCACGAGGUCAGGAGUUCGAGACUAGCUUGGCCAACACGGAUUUGUCAUCUAUAACAAGUUUCUGGGUGAUGUCAAUGCUGCUGCGCUGAGGACCCCACUUGAAGACCCGCUGGAUAAGGCCACUCACAGUGGAUGCUCUCUGACAACACAGUCAGCAGCUCCAGGACAGAGUGUUCCAAGUCCACCUGAGCCUGGGCCACGCCAGUUCCUGGGCCUGCUUAGGUUGAAGGGAUUUUUUUUUUUGUGGUUUGAAUAAACUAAUUUUUGGCUAAAA